GAUGAACGCUGGCGGCGUGCUUAACACAUGCAAGUCGAACGAUGAAGCCGGAGCUUGCUCUGGUGAAUUAGUGGCGAACGGGUGAGUAACACGUGAGUAACCUGCCCUUGACUCUGGGGUAACUGCGGGAAACUGCAGCUAAUACCGGAUACGACCCUCGGCGGCAUCGCCAGGGGGUGGAAAGAAUUUCGGUCAAGGAUGGACUCGCGGCCUAUCAGCUAGUUGGUGAGGUAACGGCUCACCAAGGCGACGACGGGUAGCCGGCCUGAGAGGGUGACCGGCCACACUGGGACUGAGACACGGCCCAGACUCCUACGGGAGGCAGCAGUGGGGAAUAUUGCACAAUGGGCGCAAGCCUGAUGCAGCAACGCCGCGUGAGGGAUGACGGCCUUCGGGUUGUAAACCUCUUUUAGUAGGGAAGAAGCGAAAGUGACGGUACCUGCAGAAAAAGCACCGGCUAACUACGUGCCAGCAGCCGCCGUAA
rnacentral:rRNA from 1 species